UAAGGAUUACUGCCCCCACCCUCAACAGAUGGUGAUAGAAUAGAUACCUUUUAUCACACUCUGUAUUGUAACCCCGGACAGGUCUGAAGAAAAGAAUACCUACUAAUAUGAAAGGGAAACAUUAGUUAUCCCAUAGUUACAUUAAUCUAUGAGAAUAAUUGAUCAUGGACAUUAACACUCUCUUACUAAUUGUCAUGGAAAAGAUUGCUGGUUUACACAUACAAUUUUAAAUUUGACUUGGUUAUAGUAUGGCACAAAAUCCAAGAACUCUGGGACCAAAAGAUCCCAGAAGGGCUGGGAUCAACGGUGGUGGCAGUGAUAGAUACAAGGCAGCAGCACUGAGCAUUAGCUUCGCCCAUAUCAAAACAAAGACUCUGCUGUAAGUUGACACAGUUAACUUUUUCAUCUGAAGCAGAAAUUGCACCCUAUACCUGGGAAGCCUUUCCUGACAUAUUUAAUUUAUUACUGAGAAAAUGUAUGCUCUCUAGGGGGUAAUUUGGGAAAUGUGAGUCAGGAACAUAGGUGAGAUGAGCCAACAAAGUGACAAUUCCAGGCUCUCUCCUUGUACACUCAGCAGUGGAACAGCCAGUGCACCUGUUGGAGAUUGUGGAACAUGUUAUUUCUCUUUCCAAAUGCUGAACCCAGUCCUGGAGCUAGCAUUGGCAAGAGGACAAGCCUGGGCUCCCAACUGUUCCACAGACUGUCAAUAGCAGGAUAAUCAGAUGAUUAUCAUCCCUCUCCUCAUUUAACCACAACUGAGCAAGGCCAAGCAAGGGAACAGGAAUGAGGCUUAUUCCAACAGAACCAAUCAUUUUCUUCUAUAGGAUUUCCCCCUGCUUGACCUCAGGGAUUUCAGCAGCCGUGCAUUGCUUUGGAAGCAUUGCUUUCAUGCUCUUAGCUGUUCUUUGUGCAGAUUACCCUUCCUCACAGUCAGCAGCACUGGACUCCACAAGCAGCUUUGAAGCCCAGAUGUUUCUCCAUCAGGCCCAGGGUACAUGUGCUGGUCCCUGCCCCCGAACCAACAUCACUUUCUAUUACACUGUCUCCCUUCUAGUUGCGUUUCUAAAAGCUGCUGCCCUAAGUUGCUGAGGCCCAGCACUGCCAGAUCUGCCCUACAGACACAACUUCCAACUGGAAAUUCUUUAUUUGCAUGUGAUCAAUAUUUCAGUAGCUUCAUGUAACAUAAGAUGAGAAAGACUCCAGAACAUUUAUUCCUUCACCUUGAAAACUGAGAACUUGCAGUGCAUAGGAUUUUAAACAGGAUACAGUGACAGGGUGGGAACUGAUGGGACAAAUAAGGCAGUUUGUGUUUCCAUUGCUAUCUAACCAUUGGCCAGGAAGCUAGCUGAAAACCAGCUGCAAAAUGAUCAUCUUUAUUCCUUCCCGUCAGCUUUUUAACAUUAUGAUCUGCAGAUAAAAUACUGAUAAAGAGAGUCAGAUCUUGUUAUUAAUAGAACAUCCCACUGAAGUCAUCUGGUAUCCUCCCACUGAGUUCUAUGUGUUCCAAUGCACAGCGUUGGACAAGUAAACAUGAAAAGUAGCAGAAAUAAUUUCAGAAUCCCUGGGCUUAGUAGAAAAGAGACCUUCAUAGGAAAUGGUGGUGGAAGGGGUACAGCAUUCCCUCCUCCACAAGUGCCAUAGGGCUCAGAAGCUGCAGGAUCAGUAACAGAAGGUUUUAGUGAACAAACCUUGCUAACCAAGUCAGUGAUGAACUCUGAGGACUCCCAGAGCUGUCAGCUCUUCAGUGAGCUCCUGUCCUGCUCUGUGGCACUGGAAAACUCCCCUGACCCUAGGGAUCCCAGCUCUCAUUCUGGCCCGUAGGGUACCUGGGAAGCACACCUGGGAGUGCAGUGUUGCUGCAGUUCCCCACCAUCCCUUUUUACUUUACCACAACCCUGACUGAGGAGUGCCUCCCUCUUCCUCAGUAAUUCUGAAAUCACCUUUAGCUCAAGUCAGGUUGAAGUUCAGAGCCAUACAAGAAGUCUGUAUUUACAACAUCCAAAAAAGAAACAGUUUUAGGAAAAAAAUAGAUUACAAAGAUAAGAAAAACAAACAACCCCCCUUGCCAAACCCCACAACCAAACCUCUAUUGACAUUACUCUUAUACCUGAAAUACCCCUCACCCAAAACCCAGCUAACCUGCUGCAGACCCUUUCCUGAGACUGUUUUUCUAUAUAGCAUUCAUCUCAGCUGCACUCAACAGUGAACUUCUUAAUUAAACACUUCAGCUUUUAUCACUAUUUGUCUUUGUAAGCCAUGCUGACAAUUUGGGAUUUUUUUUCCCUUGAAAACAACCACACCAAAAGAGACUCAGCUUUUUUUCCCAAGACUCUGCCACAAGGACACAAAAAAAAAACCAAACACCAAAAACCAGGCAAUCCUCAAGCCCACCUUGCAGCUAAGUCAGGCUGUCACAGCCCAACUCCCAGGCAGCCACCCAGCCCAGGAGUCCUUGUGGUGCACAGCCUCUCUCCAGAGGUCAGCUGUGGCACAGUGGCAGCAUCCUUUAGCUUUGACAUCCACAGAGAAAACUCAGCACAAUCCAGAGACAGCAAGUGGAACAGAGAAUGGCAGCUGGAUUGUUCCACAUGUUCCAGGAGGGACUGUGUAGUGCUCUCAGCCUCACCUUCUGCUAGCACCAAACAAAACCUCAAAACUUUUGUAUUUUUGAAUAUUUGGAAGCACCUGUUCAGCAGUGAAACAUUAUCAUGUGUAAUUAGAUGAUUCUGGAGCUGCAAAAUGAGCCUGUCAGUAAUGGGGACUUUACCUAUCAUGGGGAAGAAUGUAUGUUGCAGGAACAAUUGAGGUUAAUGUUAAAGAGCAUAUAAAACAAGGGGGAAACAUAUGCUCCUCAGUAAUAAAUGGUCUUUGGAAUAAUCUUGAUUUGGAAAUCAAGAUUUUCUGUGAGAGAUGUUCCACGUGGGAAGGGAGGGGAGCUGUUUACAGCUUCCAGGACACACAGCACAUCAGAGCUCUGGGCAGCACUGCCCUCAAGUGAGGACAGGCAGUGACAUACCUGGGGUUGUACCAGAGCAUGUGGACACUGUGUCCACAUUUCUGCUGUGCCUCCCAGGUUUGGCUCUGGGAGCUUCACGGUAUGUUCAAAGCUCCGGGCAGUUCACACCUUUCCUUCCUUAGUGCAGUUACAUUUUUACCAGCACCAUCCCACUUGCAUUCCUGCAGAAGCUUGGCACUCCUCCAAAACUGAGCUGUCAGCCAAAAAGAGCCCAGUAGUUUGAGGUUUCAGACCUUGGAAUAAUUUUCUCUGGUGAGCUUUAUUUAUCUCUAUAGGCAGGGAAUACUCUGCAUUUCUCUAAGAGGAUUUUAGUCCUAUUUAUUUUGGAGAUGUUGCAGUACCUUAAUACCAGAGCUGAACCUCUCCUCUUGAAGCUGCAUUGCUUUGAACUAUCCAAUAUAGUGCUGAGCUGCUGAAAAAGGAUGUUUUGCUACUUGCAUCAUGAAUCCUCAUUAUCACUCUCAAAAAGCUCAUGGAGAGCUGAUCACCAUGAGAAAAUAAAUCAACCAUAAAAAUCUGAACAUAUAUACAUGCAGUUACAUGCACAUUCAACCAAGUACCCAGACUGGUUAUUGUCUGGUUAUGGUGUUUCCACAACUUCCAGAGAAAAGGCAUGCAGAUGUUUCAGAGAGGAUCUUCAUGAGGAUCUUCAUUUUCAUAUUGAAUUAAAUUUCAAAAUACGCGUGCUAGCUUUUCUAAUGGGAAUUUAAUGUGUACUGCUCAACAAAGUGAAAAAGGAGAUUUUACCCUGGGCCUUUGCCCAAGACGUGUGUCCUUAUUUGUGGCAACAGCAAAAGCAAAACUCUUAUACAGAAUAGCCUGGGAAAGAUCUACUGUGCCAUGCUGCAUCAGCCAUUUAGUGUAGCCAAGGAGAAAGAGAAGGGCCUGGGUGAUAUGUUUUCCAAAGAGGAAAGCAAUCCACCAAGGCAUGGCAGUGCAACAUCACCAAUUCGCACCACAGAGUGCUAACACAAAUAGCUGCUGUCCAAAUGGCACUCCUUGAAGGGCAAAAUAAUGAAACUUUAUGCUAAACCAAUGUUUUCUCUUGUUGUGACUCACCACACAGUCCCAUGGCUUUCAUCAAACGCCUUUCCAUCAAACGCAUCCAGCUGUGUCACCACUUUCCUGGCAGAAGAGCUUUCACAUCAAAAAACAAAUUUAAAAAAAAAUUUCCUAAUGCUAGAGGUGAUUUGCAAAUAAUUCAACAGCCAGGCUUGGCCAGGAACAAGACAGGCAGCAUUGCUGCAGUUAUCCCAUACGUGACUACUGAGCCUGGCAGGAGCACUGAGGGCUGGGUUGGGGCAGUUGGAAAUUCAGCACUAAAGGAAAUGGACAGAAAGGAGAUACAUCAUUGCCAUUUUUCUCUUGUUAAUACAGGUUUCUCUGUCCAGUCCGAUCACAUUUCCAUCCAAGUUCAUUUACAUUAUUGUGCUACACACACCCUGUGGGGAUGGACGUGCAGUUGGGUGACACGCGGACCUUGCCACUUCAUUUCUGUGGCAACUCCAGUAAAGUCUGGAGGUGAAAAAAACAUACAGCGUUGCUUCCCAUGAGGGAGGAAAAAAGGGCUUGGCGAGUAAGACAGCUACAAGAAAACAGAGCCCAGGACACCCAAGUCUUUCCUCGUGUGCCCGCCUCACCCCGGGCGGCUGGAGGGCUGGUCUGUACCGAGCUGAGGGGAUCCGCCGGCGCUGAGGGGCCCGAGAGGACACGGAGGCACUGAGGGGAUCCUGUGGCACUGAGGGGAUCCUGUGGCAUUUAGGGGCCCGAGAGGACAGGGAGGCACUGAGGAGCCCCGCCGGCUGAGAGGAAGCGGUGCCGCCUGACGGUUCCUGCCCGCCCGACGCCGUUGCCACGGAGACGGCUAUGCGGCAAUGGCGGCCGCUGAGGCGGGCGGGGAUCCGACCGCGGCCCCUGAGCCCGCGACGUCCACCUGCUCCUCAGAAAGUACUUCCUUGAAAGAAGACAAUCUUUCCUAUCCUGGGAUGCUACCAGUAGAUAAAAGGCUUCUAAACUUACAGAUCUACAAACUUCUUCAGUGUGUUCAUGAGAAAAACAAGGAGCAAAUAGAAAAUCUGAUCCAGAAGGGAUUCCCAGAUCUCAUUAAUUACACAGAGCCUAAGGAAGGAUAUGGUGCCUUUCACUUGGCCUCCAUGAAAAAUGACAUUGAAAUGUGCUCCUUCCUGCUGGAACACGGAGCUCGUCCAAAUGUCCAUGACAAAAUGGGACGCACUCCUGCCAUGAAGGCAGCUGAGCUAGGCCAUGAGGUGAUUUUGGAAUUAUUAGUAAAAGCUAAUGCAGAUAUGACUGCUGUGGAUAAUGAAGGGAAAGGUAUUUUGUUUUACUGCCUUUCACCUACAGCACGCCACACCCACUGCUUGCAAAUUGCCUUGGAAUAUGGUGCAGAUGUCAACAACUGUACUACUACUGGGAGGUCUGUGCUUCUAGAAGCCUGUGAGCAAGCUCAUAGGCUUAAAGAAAUGUGCUUGAUUUUCUUGGAGAAAGGAGCAGAUCCCAAUGCAAAAGACCCGGCCACGGGGCGCACAGCAGUGAUGGAAGCUGCAAGGGAAGGCACUGCCGAGGUGGUGCUGGAUCUGCUUCGCAGGGGAGCCGAUGUGAACCUGUUUGACUUUGAAAGGCACAGUGCGGCACAUUUCGCAGCCAAAGGAGGCUUUUUGGAGAUUCUGAUGAUUAUUUCAGGUUAUAAUGCAGACUUGAAACUGAUUGCCAUGAAUGGUAACACUCCACUUCAUUACGCUGCAGAGGGAGGAUUUGCAGAUUGCUGCAGGUAUAUAGGACAAAGAGGCUGUGAUCCUACAUGGUCAAACUUGGUGCAUCUGACCCCGAGGGAGGUUGCUAAGAAUGGUGGGUUUAAAGCAGCAGCAGCAGUGUUGCGCAAAGCUGAGAAAGCCUUUAAAAAACCAAAUGAGAUCCUUGCCUGGUAUCUGAAGGUGUACGACUGGUCCUUGCAGCACGAGGACGCCAUCCGCAAGGAGUUGGAGACUGAAGAAGAAGGAGAUGGGAUGGUAUCCAGAAAUGAUUUUAUGUCACUUAUUAGGAAGCACUGGGGCACUGUGGACGAGGAACAAAUAGAAAUUCUUGCUAAAAUGCAUGAAGAAUCCUCUGGCAAGGUCAGACUUGAUGACUUUUUUAAAGGCUCAAAGUACUUGCAGAAAAUCUUUCUGCUAUCAUCCUUUGGACCCAAAGCAAAGAAGAAGAAGAAACCACAGAGAAAAAAAGGCAAAAAAGGCCUCCCUGUGCCGAUCUGUGUAAUCCCGAAGAGUGAACUUCCUCUUAGGGAAGAUGGUCUCCCUACCUACAUGGUUGAGGCUGUCCCACGCAUUCCUGAAGAGCAGCAUUUCAAACAGGACCACCAAGCCACCCAUCCCAUGCUCGAUGACCGUGUCUGGUACGUAGAGGAGCCAAGAAAAACCCUCAUGGAUAUCAACUACCUUGUCAAAAAAAGAGACUUUGUGUCUCUGCAGAAAGCCUUCGACGCGGGUGUGCCAGUAGACAUAAAAGAUAAAUAUUACAAAACACCUUUGAUGGUUGCAUGUGCAAGUGGCAACAUAGUUCUUGUGGAGUUUCUUCUGGAAAAGGGGGCUGAUGUCAAUGCAACAGACAACUUCCUGUGGACUCCUCUGCAUCAUGCUUGCUAUAAUGGACACCUGGAUAUCACUGAGCUGCUGGUGAAGGCUGGAGCAGCUGUGAAUGCCCCUGCAAUAGGCAAUGCCACCCCGCUGAUGAGAGCCAUUGAGGCCUGCAGGCUGGACAUGGUCUACUUCUUAAUCACUGCAGGUGCUGAUGUCCAAGCUACAAACAGCAAUGGAAAGAGUGUUCUUGAUCUUGCUCAAAUAUUUCAAAAUGCUACAAUAAUUGAACUGCUUGAAAAUCAACUGCAAAUUUUGGCAGAAGAACAAGAAAAAGAAGAAGCAAUGGCAGCAAAAGGUGGGAAGCCAAAACCAGCAGAGCCACCAAAACCUGUGAAAGAGGUAUGAGAGAUGGUAACAAAGAACUGACUUCCUAAUAGUUAGCCGGGAGCUUCUUUCUUUCCUUUUUUUGCCACCCAUUUCCCUCUAACACUGUAACUUAGGCAGCUUUGUUAAAGUGAGUAUUUUCAGAUAUUUGUGAGUAUUAGAACUUGUGCAUUGGUUGAAAUUUGUCUUGCUAAUUAUGCAAACUUCAUGUAUUCCCCAGACACGCAUAAGAAUGAUGUCUGUACCAUUGACAGGGCAGAGAAAAGGAUUUCCUUUUCUUUUUCCCUCCUCCUGAAGUAUAUUGCUCACCCAGCUCUUUUGUGGUAAUUACUUUAUAACUGGUAAUCAAAAUUUCUUAAAGGGAGAACCUAUUUUUUCACAAGAUAGGAACCAUACCCUUCAAACUGGUAAAAAGGUUUUUUGUUCUUCUAGUUCAAUUCACUGAGACAAUACCAGGCUUGUUAACUUCCUGUUUUCCAUUUUGUCCCAUGUUCUUCCUCUUCCACCAUUUACCUGAGUUCUCUUUCUCAAGUUCCACACUGAUGUUUGCCUGUUUUAUUUCUGAAUGCUUUUCCUGCACCCUCUGAGAGCCUUGAGCACCUCAGCAUUACCCGAUUCCCAAGCUGACAUCAGCCUCUGUGACUACAUCUGGGUUCUCUUGCUGUGGAUGAGACCUUCCUGAUUCACCAGUGCCUGAAGAUGUAUCAGAGCCACCUGAUGAAAACCCUGUUCCUGAAAAGCCAAAGCGUUCCCGUAAGGACAGUUCUG